rnacentral:misc_RNA from 1 species
GGUCAGGUGCCAGGGUGG